CGCUUAUUUGUGCGUUGCAAUAACUCUCUACUUAUUUAUUACAAGUUCUGUUUUAGGUUUCAGGUAAGGUAAGGUCAGGUAAUUCAUGAGAAAAUAAAUUUAGAACAAAAUAAGACCGGGUUUUUCCUCAUAUAGUAUUUCAAUGCUCUAAUAUAUCUGAGAUCCUUACUUGUGAUUAUAAUAAUCCUUCAGAAUCAACUAUAUUAAAGUUAAAUUCUGUUCAUCGGCAUUUACUGAAGUAACAAAUUUAUAAUCAUCAGCCCCAUGAUUGUAGAACUUCCCCAAAUGUUUCUUGUAUGGAAAAUAUUAAUGAUUCUAACAAUAACCAUCUACGUGAUCCAGAAUUAUCAUAUCAAAUUAAAAUGAAUUGCCUACUAAUUGAUCGCUAUUUAUAAUCUUUUUUUUUCAUAUCCACCUACAACCUCCAAAUGAGCUGAAAAUGAAGUAACAAAGAGGACCUGUGAUAAAGUGAAUUACGAAAUGAGCACUGUAACGCAGGAAGAUAGAUUAAACCAACUGAAGAUUUUUAUCUUUCAUGUAUGUGUAGAAAUUUGAAUAUUGCUUCAGAAAUGUAUCAAUUCAGUUGUUCAUCAGAUAUGAUUUCAUAAAGUAGGUAUAAAUAGGUAUUUUAUUUCAGUCAGGUAUAGUGUAAAUCUCCCAAUAUAAUGUAUAUUAUGUAUUGAUUUUUAUAAAUACUUAUUAUUUUAAGCAAAUAUGUUAAUUUCCUUUGAUAAAUAAAACUUUUCGAUGAUAUUUUUCUGUUUUAAUUCGAAAUUAUAACAACAUAACCUAAAAUAAAUACUAAUAAUAUUCCAACAAUUUCAAUGAAUUGUCAUACCUUCAUAUUCAAAUUUUCCCGCCAUAUUACACUACAUGAUGGCGGACAAAAUAUCGGCCAUAUUGUUGCCUUGAUUUAACACGGCGUUAGCACUUCUUAUAUAUUUAGUAUUCUGUGCUUCUAAGGGCACCUCUAUCUUUUCUUUCCUCUGAGAACGGUACAGAGCAUCCUGAGCUUCAGCUGUUAUGUCAGUUCUUUGAUAUACGCAUGUGGCACCCUUCGUGGCUAAAUGAAAUGAAAUCAUUAGUAAAACAUAAUCAAUAUUCAUAAUAUACACUUUUACUGACUUGCCUGCUGAAGAGGCGUUAGAAAUUUAUGCUUUUUUUAACUAUACUAAGAAGUUUUGAGUUGAUUUUGUUUUCAAUAUUGAAAAAUACGGAAAAAUUCAUUCUGAAGGUAUGGACUUUAAUAUUAUCAAUUAUUUACUGCAAGAAAUUCACAAAUUCAUUGCUAUAUAGUUGGUUGCCACAAUUCAUAUUACAAUAAGGAAAAGUAGCUCGAGAAAGAAGGAAAGAUAUGGAUUAUUAGUGUGAGAAGAGUUUGAUAAGAAUAUUUGAGAAAUGAUAGCAAAUGUCUCUCAUAUAAAACUUAUUGUAGUGCUGAUCAUAUUUUGAGAGAAAUGGCAACCUGAAGUAUUCCAUAAAAUAUGCUGUGCUUAUUUUGUGUGAAACGUGAGAAAAAAUGAUCAUGAGAGAACUUCAUUUAACCCAAAGAUUUAAGUAUAAAAAAACGGAUACCUAAUUCCUCCACAAAAAUGAAAAGAUAUAAAAGAAAAAUGGUCUGAUCUAGUAGAAAGUAUAUUUCCAAGGAGGAAUCACUUCUAAAAUCUCCAUUCGUUUUAUGAAGACAAAAAUGUUUCAAUGGAAGUCUAAGAAGGAAAAAAGGAAUUUUCAUGUUAAAUUGAUCCAAGUGAUUUGGAAGAUGAUAUCUUUUUAUUUUCAUCAGUAAUUUAAUGGACUAUGGUGCCAAGGGAAUGUGUGAUGGGAUAACUUACUGCCAUAGGAUAAAUAAAUGAUAUGUAAAAUCAAUGCAGUAUUUGAUAAUAAUAAUAAUUUAUUUGCACACAAGAAAUUCAUAAAAACAUACGCCAUCAAAAGUUUACAUGGCUUGUCAAUCAAAAAAUCUUAAACUAUAAAUGAGUAGUAUUAAUAGUCAUUGUAAUGAAAACAUAAAUAUGUUUGUAGUUACAAAUUAUCAAAUAAUAUUUACAAAAAUGAUUCCUAAAUAAAUCACUCAACCUGUA